rnacentral:rRNA from 1 species
GGGUUGUGAGGUUAAGCGACUAAGCGUACACGGUGGAUGCCCUGGCAGUCAGAGGCGAUGAAGGACGUGCUAAUCUGCGAAAAGCGUCGGUAAGGUGAUAUGAACCGUUAUAACCGGCGAUGUCCGAAUGGGGAAACCCAGUGCAAUUCGUUGCACUAUCGUUAACUGAAUACAUAGGUUAACGAGGCGAACCGGGGGAACUGAAACAUCUAAGUACCCCGAGGAAAAGAAAUCAACCGAGAUUCCCCCAGUAGCGGCGAGCGAACGGGGAGCAGCCCAGAGUCUGAAUCAGCUUGUGUGUUAGUGGAACGGUCUGGAAAGUCCGACGGUACAGGGUGAUAGUCCCGUACACCAAAAUGCACAGGUUGUGAACUCGAAGAGUAGGGCGGGACACGUGGUAUCCUGUCUGAAUAUGGGGGGACCAUCCUCCAAGGCUAAAUACUCCUGACUGACCGAUAGUGAACCAGUACCGUGAGGGAAAGGCGAAAAGAACCCCGGCGAGGGGAGUGAAAAAGAACCUGAAACCGUGUACGUACAAGCAGUGGGAGCACCUUCGGGUGUGACUGCGUACCUUUUGUAUAAUGGGUCAGCGACUUAUAUUCUGUAGCAAGGUUAACCGUAUAGGGGAGCCGCAGGGAAACCGAGUCUUAACUGGGCGUUAAGUUGCAGGGUAUAGACCCGAAACCCGGUGAUCUAGCCAUGGGCAGGUUGAAGGUUGGGUAACACUAACUGGAGGACCGAACCGACUAAUGUUGAAAAAUUAGCGGAUGACUUGUGGCUGGGGGUGAAAGGCCAAUCAAACCGGGAGAUAGCUGGUUCUCCCCGAAAGCUAUUUAGGUAGCGCCUCGUGAACUCAUCUUCGGGGGUAGAGCACUGUUUCGGCUAGGGGGUCAUCCCGACUUACCAACCCGAUGCAAACUACGAAUACCGAAGAAUGUUAUCACGGGAGACACACGGCGGGUGCUAACGUCCGUCGUGAAGAGGGAAACAACCCAGACCGCCAGCUAAGGUCCCAAAGUCAUGGUUAAGUGGGAAACGAUGUGGGAAGGCACAGACAGCCAGGAUGUUGGCUUAGAAGCAGCCAUCAUUUAAAGAAAGCGUAAUAGCUCACUGGUCGAGUCGGCCUGCGCGGAAGAUGUAACGGGGCUAAACCAUGCACCGAAGCUGCGGCAGCGACACUAUGUGUUGUUGGGUAGGGGAGCGUUCUGUAAGCCUGCGAAGGUGACCUGUGAGGGUUGCUGGAGGUAUCAGAAGUGCGAAUGCUGACAUAAGUAACGAUAAAGCGGGUGAAAAGCCCGCUCGCCGGAAGACCAAGGGUUCCUGUCCAACGUUAAUCGGGGCAGGGUGAGUCGACCCCUAAGGCGAGGCCGAAAGGCGUAGUCGAUGGGAAACAGGUUAAUAUUCCUGUACUUGGUGUUACUGCGAAGGGGGACGGAGAAGGCUAUGUUAGCCGGGCGACGGUUGUCCCGGUUUAAGCAUGUAGGCUGGUUAUCCAGGCAAAUCCGGAUAAUCAAGGCUGAGGUGUGAUGACGAGGCACUACGGUGCUGAAGUAACAAAUGCCCUGCUUCCAGGAAAAGCCUCUAAGCAUCAGGUAACAUCAAAUCGUACCCCAAACCGACACAGGUGGUCAGGUAGAGAAUACCAAGGCGCUUGAGAGAACUCGGGUGAAGGAACUAGGCAAAAUGGUGCCGUAACUUCGGGAGAAGGCACGCUGGUGUGUAGGUGAAGUCCCUGCGGAUGGAGCUGAGACCAGUCGAAGAUACCAGCUGGCUGCAACUGUUUAUUAAAAACACAGCACUGUGCAAACACGAAAGUGGACGUAUACGGUGUGACGCCUGCCCGGUGCCGGAAGGUUAAUUGAUGGGGUUAUCCGUAAGGAGAAGCUCUUGAUCGAAGCCCCGGUAAACGGCGGCCGUAACUAUAACGGUCCUAAGGUAGCGAAAUUCCUUGUCGGGUAAGUUCCGACCUGCACGAAUGGCGUAAUGAUGGCCAGGCUGUCUCCACCCGAGACUCAGUGAAAUUGAACUCGCUGUGAAGAUGCAGUGUACCCGCGGCAAGACGGAAAGACCCCGUGAACCUUUACUAUAGCUUGACACUGAACAUUGAGCCUUGAUGUGUAGGAUAGGUGGGAGGCUUUGAAGCGUGGACGCCAGUCUGCGUGGAGCCAACCUUGAAAUACCACCCUUUAAUGUUUGAUGUUCUAACGUUGGCCCCUGACCGGGGUUGCGGACAGUGUCUGGUGGGUAGUUUGACUGGGGCGGUCUCCUCCCAAAGCGUAACGGAGGAGCACGAAGGUUAGCUAAUCCUGGUCGGACAUCAGGAGGUUAGUGCAAUGGCAUAAGCUAGCUUGACUGCGAGCGUGACGGCGCGAGCAGGUGCGAAAGCAGGUCAUAGUGAUCCGGUGGUUCUGAAUGGAAGGGCCAUCGCUCAACGGAUAAAAGGUACUCCGGGGAUAACAGGCUGAUACCGCCCAAGAGUUCAUAUCGACGGCGGUGUUUGGCACCUCGAUGUCGGCUCAUCACAUCCUGGGGCUGAAGUAGGUCCCAAGGGUAUGGCUGUUCGCCAUUUAAAGUGGUACGCGAGCUGGGUUUAGAACGUCGUGAGACAGUUCGGUCCCUAUCUGCCGUGGGCGCUGGAGAAUUGAGGGGGGCUGCUCCUAGUACGAGAGGACCGGAGUGGACGCAUCACUGGUGUUCGGGUUGUCAUGCCAAUGGCACUGCCCGGUAGCUAAAUGCGGAAGAGAUAAGUGCUGAAAGCAUCUAAGCACGAAACUUGCCCCGAGAUGAGUUCUCCCUGAGACUUUAAGUCUCCUGAAGGAACGUUAAAGACGAUGACGUUGAUAGGCCGGGUGUGUAAGCGCAGCGAUGCGUUGAGCUAACCGGUACUAAUGAACCGUGAGGCUUAACCUUACAACGCCGAAG